AGAAGAGGGGGUAUAUUGCUUUGCUCAUGUCGGUCGGUCGGUAGGUCGGUCGGUCGGUUCGUCCACCAGGUGGUUGUCGUAUGAUAAGUCAAGAACGCAUACGCCUAGGAUCAUGAAACUUUAUAGGUAGAUUGAUCAUGACUCGCAGAUGACCCCUAUUGAUUUUGAGGUCACUAGGUCAAAGGUCAAGGUGACCCGAAAUAGUAAAAUGGUUUUCGGAUGAUAACUCAAGAACGCAUACGCCUAGGAUCAUGAAACUUCAUGGGUAGAUUGAUCAUGACUCGCAGAUGACCCCUAUUGAUUUUGAGGUCACAAGGUCAAAGGUCAAGGUCACGGUGACCCGAAAUAGUAAAAUGAUUUUUGGAUGAUAACUCAAGAACGCUUUUGCCUAGGAUCAUGACACUUCAUAGGUACAUUGAUCGUGACUCGCAGAUGACCCCUAUUGAUUUUCAGGUCACUAGUUUAUUCUGUUUUCACACUGUCCAGUAAAGAGACUUACAAAUUGAAUUUUUGACACAUGUUAAUUCAUAAUGAUGUAUAAGCCUUUGUUUCUGUGCCAGUAAAUACUAUGUUUAUGGAAAUGACGUGAGAAUUCAACAUUUAAAAAACCAAUGUAAUAUGAUAUGUAAUAUUAUAUGGCAACAGGACAGUUGUGAUUUGCUGGGUCAAUUCUAUUUAGCUUGACCAUCCAAGCGGUUGAUAGCUUUGACAAACUGGUGGUCUGAAACAUUGAGAAAAUGUCACGAUUCACUGACAAUAAAUCAAACAUGUAAUUCUUGCUACGCAACUUGCAUUUAAUUUUGUCAAUUCAAAUUAUACAUAAAAAUAUAUAAUUAAUUUUUAAUCUGCUUGUUAAUUGAAAAACAGCAACACAGUUUGUAUGUAUAAAACAAUGUUAAUACAUAAAUAGGAUCAAGCAUAUUAAAAUAUCAACUUAGAUUUAGUUUCCUUUACUGUACAGGAUUUGUAAAGUUAGGUUAAUAUUUGUAUAUUGAACAAAAAUAACAACAGUGUAAAGAAAAGUUAAUUUGGGGAUGUUCUAUCCAAACCCUGAGAGUUCAGAUUUCCUCAAAUGCCAAGUAAAGAUUGUAAAUUUCAACCCACUCGUCUGGUUAGUUUUCAGAGGCACAUAUAAUUAACUUUUAGGCUUAGUGUCUCAUUUGUACAUGCAUUACUGUAUUAACUCCAAAUCAACUAGUACAAGUGGUAGGCCAGUAUUACAUGGACUGGUGUUCACUGUUUACACAGUUUCACAACCCCAUCUGAUACUGGUCAGUAUCUUGGCAAGUGGCCAAAGUUGGGAGUGGAAUUAAUGGUCUAUUACAUAACUGACUUCUGUGUGUGGUAAACACAUGAUACUGGUCAUGUGGUCAAGUUGCACUUAUAUACAUUUGCCCAAUACACAACACUAGCCUUGGCUAUUUUUAAUCAGAUUGCAUUGCUAUCUAUGGUGGUCAUUGACUAGGGGAGUUAACUGCUAUAAAUAACAUGUUUCAUUACCAUUAAUAAAUAAAACAUAACAAAUUGUGUGCACGUUUCACAUAUUGUCAAAUAAGUCAAAAUGUGUGAAAGGAAUCCAAAAAAUCAAAGACUCAAUCAUAUAAUGGAUAUAAUUGAUUAGUAUAGGUCCUGAUUGGUUUUUGCACUAUUAAUUGGAUACAUUUCACAGGUCAUUGACAUACAGUGACAAAAAACAUAUUCACACAAUGGCUGUCACUACAACGGAGAGCCCAUAUGGGGGGCAUGCAUGUUUUACAAACAGCCCUUGUUUUUGAA